rnacentral:rRNA from 2 species
CUGGUGUCAGCCGCCGCGGUAAUACCAGCACCCCGAGUGGUCGGGACGAUUAUUGGGCCUAAAGCAUCCGUAGCCGGUCCUGCAAGUCCUCCGUUAAAUCCACCCGCUCAACGGUUGGGCCGCGGGGGAUACUACAGGGCUAGGAGGCGGGAGAGGCAAGCGGUACUCGAUGGGUAGGGGUAAAAUCCACUGAUCCAUUGAAGACCACCAGUGGCGAAGGCGGCCUGCCAGAACGCGCUCGACGGUGAGGGAUGAAAGCUGGGGGAGCAAACCGGAUUAGAUACCCGGGUAGUCCCAGCUGUAAACGAUGCAGACUCGGUGAUGGGCUGGCUUCGUGCCAACCCGGUGCCGCAGGGAAGCCGUUAAGUCUGCCGCCUGGGGAGUACGGUCGCAAGACUGAAACUUAAAG